rnacentral:rRNA from 1 species
GACGAACGCUGGCGGCGUGCCUAAUACAUGCAAGUCGAGCGAAGUUUUUCUGGUGCUUGCACCUGAAAAACUUAGCGGCGAACGGGUGAGUAACACGUAAAGAACCUGCCUCAUAGACUGGGACAACUAUUGGAAACGAUAGCUAAUACCGGAUAAUAGCAUUAACUGCAUGGUUGAUGUUUAAAAGUUGGUUUUGCUAACACUAUGAGAUGGCUUUGCGGUUCAUUAGCUAGUUGGUGGGGUAAAGGCCUACCAAGGCGACGAUGCAUAGCCGACCUGAGAGGGUGAUCGGCCACACUGGGACUGAGACACGGCCCAGACUCCUACGGGAGGCAGCAGUAGGGAAUCUUCCGCAAUGGGCGAAAGCCUGACGGAGCAACGCCGCGUGAGUGAAGAAGGAUUUCGGUUCGUAAAGCUCUGUUGUUAGGGAAGAAUGAUUGUGUAGUAAAGAGACACAGUAGAGACGGUACCUAACCAGAAAGCCACGGCUAACUACGUG